GACGAACGCUGGCGGCGUGCCUAAUACAUGCAAGUCGAACGCUUGUUUCCUCCGGUUUGCUUUCUCUCAUUUGGGAAGAGCAGGUGCGUACGGGUUAGAAACACUUCGUUAACCUAUCCAUCAGAGUGGGAUAACACUAGCAAAAAGGGGCUAAUAUUGUAUAACAGUUUAUUCCACAUUGCAUGACAGUCUAAGUCUCUCUCGUAGGUCGUUGCGGGCUGGAUCCGCGAUGCAUUAGCUAGUUGGUAAGGUAACGGCUCACCAAGGCAACGAUGCAUAGCCGACCUGAGAGGGUGAUCGGCCACACUGGAACUGAGACACGGUCCAGACUCCUACGGGAGGCAGCAGUAGGGAAUCUUCGGCAAUGGACGAAAGUCUGACGGAGCAACGCCGCGUGAGUGAAGAAGGUCUUCGGAUCGUAAAACUCUGUUGUUAGAGAAGAACAAGGACGUUAGUAACUGAACGUACCUUGACGGUAUCUAACCAGAAAGCCACGGCUAACUACGUG
rnacentral:rRNA from 1 species